CGUGCUAGGGACAGAGCUCAGGGCUUCACAGAUGACAGGCAUCUGAGCUACAAACACCUAUCAACCGAGCUGCCAUCACCCUGCUGGCCGAGCUGCGCGCCCAUCUCGGGAUCACUGUUCUUAUUUUCUGCAGUGCCCUCUGGUCCCCUCCCAAGCCCCAGCAAACAGCUCCCUCCUUGAAACCCCAUGCACCCAAUUUACCCUUUGAAAAUGGAGACCCAGAGAAGUCUGCACAGAAAGAGCUAGAAGUUUCCUCUGUGGUGGAUGCUGUUGCUAAGCAACCACCUGAAGCAUCAGCUUCCCCCAGAGUGGUGCUGAUGCAGGAGUAGGUCAUUCCUGGAUUUGCUGGGCCCUAGCCUCUGCUGACUCAGUACCCAUGGGGGUGACAGGCGUGUAUGAUGAUGUGGCAAGGGUGGUAGGGACACAGGGGAGCCAGCAGAGGCUAGACAUAGCUCACCCGAAGUGGGUGUUAAGCAUCCCACAACACCCCAGGUCCACGACAGCGUCUGCAGAGCUAGACCCUUGCCUUGGUUUAAGGUCAUUCUUACUCGUGUGUGGGAAGGGCAUGCAGUACCGACAGCGGCCAGAAGUGGCGUGAGUGGCCAUGUGGGACCCUCUGCAAGAGCAGUCAGGGCUCCUCCAUCUCCAGCCAUCUGUCCCCAGCCAGGGUCCCCAGCCAAGGUGCCCUGCAUCGCUGCCCCCACUGUGCUCUUGGAGUUAGUUCACAGCGGCCGC
rnacentral:lncRNA from 1 species